GCGGGUAAGCCAUGAGCUGUGGCUAGCUGUCACAGCAGCUUUAGCCACUUUGUAGUUGUUUUCUCACUGGGGAAAAAACAGAUGCGAGUACUUAUAGUAUCUGACUGCCAAACCUAAGGAAGAAGAACUCAUUUCCUCAACAGCUAUUGUGCCCUUCUGGGGGAGUGUGAAGUGCAUUUACUUUGUGGGGAGAGUAAAAGCUGGGGAGGUGGCAGACACGAGAAAGUUCUCUUCCUGAAUGUGUCAGGAAGACAAUUUCUUCUUUGUAGAAAAAAAGUAAGAAAUACUAUAGUAGGAAGAGCAGAUACUAGGGCUGUGGCAGAAGAAGAUCAGUCACACAGAUGGACCACAACUGGGACAUGUGGGUGUGGAGAUGAAGAAGGAUGCUUGCCCUCAUAGUGGCAGUGAAUUAACAGGAAACGCUGAGUACAGUUCAAAGCAAAACCACAGCAGAUGAUACUUUACAGAUGACCUCCUGGUAUCUCAGGGACCACCAGUGACCCACGGGCUGAGAAACUGCUGUCCACGCGGUAUAUUUCAGUACUGUCCUUGGGAUGCAAAGCACUGCAGGCUGCAAGGUGCUAACCCUUUUGGCCUUAAUCCAGCAACACAUUUAAGCAUGUGCUUACCAUUAAACACCUGAGUUGCCCUGCGGGCUUCAGCUGGAUUACCUGUGUCAGAGUGCUCUGCUGGAUAACAGCCAGAGUGCUCAGCACUGCGCUCUGGUUUCAAGGGGGAAGAGUAUGGAGAAAGUUCAUCUGGUUGUUAGUGACUAACAAAUGACAAAGAUGCUACAGCUCUUCUUAAUUGCUGGCCUGAUUUAUUGCCUCCUGCAGUCAAUGGAAGCAUCCUUUUGGCCUUAUGUGAUUACACAAGGCUCCACGUGAUUAGCUGGCUAAACUUGUGAGUCUUCUGGGUUUUCUGGUGAAAUGGCAUUGCUAGCUGAUGUAAACCUGGAUCGGUCCACCAUUUCACUAGUUUACCCCAUCCCCUACUUUCCAGUGGAUAAAGGAUGGUACCAACAGAUGCUUUAUAGGCUUAACAAAGGCAUCAUUAUAGUAAAACCCACUUGUCAAUGUAAUUUAUUUUCUUGUUUUGAUUCCCUCAGUUCCUCUGAAACAAUGUGUCCAGCUUUGAACUGCAGCGUGUUUGUAAAUAGUCUUUUGGAGUGCUGUUAAGAGUAGUUUAUAGUUCAGUAGGAUGCUUCUUGCAUCUGGUUCUUCUUCUCAGGAUAUGGCCAAUAAUGUGAUUCACUCCCCGUUCAUUAUGUAAUUGUUUCAGCUGGCUGGUAAUUAGGGUUGGAAACCCUGGUGAGUCUUCCUGCUCAGACAGCUCUGAGUCAGCUGACAAUUUUGGUGAUGGGAAUAUCUUCAGGAGUUCUUCUGGUGUGGAUGUAUGUUACCUUCCACUCGUCUUUUGCCUGGAGGGUUGAAUUAUCACCGUUCUUCUUUCACACCAAAGGGUAAGAGGUCAGUCACCUCUCUGUGGUUUCAAAGCAAAGGUGGGGAUUUCUCCCCAGAUGCUCAUAUCCGCAGUGUAUGCCUGCAGACCCCCAGAAGACACUCGCUGGUCCUCAGCUGCUGCUGCUGGCUCCCAGGUGGGUUGGCAGCCCAUCUGGCAGCCUUCAUCACUCCAUAAAAAUAAGUUUUGUUCCCUUGGCCUCUCCCCCGUGAAAUACGUACACCUGGUGUUUGCUAUGGGCAGCAGCGCAAGUGCUGUGAGGAGCAAUGUCCUCAUCAAAGAGCCUGCUGGCAGCUGAUCCAAGGAAGCCCCUCUGCUUGUGAAAUCCUAUACUGUGGGAAGGAGCUUCGUGGCCUUUCGCAGCCUCCCCUGGAGGGGUCUUUACCCCUGGAGGGAGAUGGUCAGGAGGCUGCAGUGUCACCUCGCUCAGGAAAUCCCUGCAAUCCCCUACUUCUGGGAGUGAAGAUGGCUCUACUUCAUCGCGUGCCAGGAUGCUGAGUUUCUUCCUCCGCAGCCGGCCCUGCUCUUGCCUGCCGGUGCCUAAAGAUGUGCAGCCUUUCUAGCCCAGCUUCUUCCUGCCCUGUGUCCCUGUGCCCAUGGCUGUGCCUAUGGGGAGGCUCCACCAGUGGAGCACCCACGGCAGCUCUUCCAGGUUGUGCUGGGAUGGACUCCCAGGUACAGUUCUUUUGGUGUUGGGCAUUUUUCCCAUACAAGACAUCCCAGAAACAUGGGACAAAGUUUGACACUUAAGCACAUGACUGUAAUUCCAAACACAAAAAGGGAGCUCACAAAUACAAAUAACAAACACAAAGGAGCUGUGCACAUACUCUUUUUUUCCCCAAAGUAAUCACCGGAUUUCACACUUACUUGACCUCUUACUAUAGCUUCUCUCUUUCCUUUUAGCAACAUGAAAAAGAAAGAUCUCAAGCCUGUCCCCUGAACUGUGUUCAACUCAACGGAAUACUUGUUUUGUUACAAUUAAUUUUAAGAAGGUCAGGAUUUUAGCUCAUGCUGAAAUUCCUGGUAAAAAAAAUAAUUUCUUUCAAGAAAGUUGACAUGGGUGGUUCUGGUACUUCACUGUUCUCCUCAUGUUUGUGUGUUUUGUUGUUGGUUUGGGUUUUUUUGAUAACAACACUAUUUUCUCUAUUCAGGCGAAAUUGCUUAUAGCAAUUUUAGUCCCUGAAAGGUAUUUCUGGCAAGGGCAAGGUUUCUCAAACAUCUUUACCUGCUCUGUUCACUUCAGAAUACAAUGCCCAUAAUUUGUAAUACAAAUGCAAAAGAACGGCCAGACCAGGUCAGAACAAUAGCGCAGGUGACCCCGUGCUCCAUCUCUGGUACAGUGAAGUCUGUACGUUGGAGCCGUAUGAGCAGUUCCCUAAUGUUCCCAGAAACACUUAGAAAAGGGAGUAGGGAAUGCAGGUCAUUCUCGGGUGAUCCUUCCCCUCUCCUGGUGCAGCAUCUGGCUGCCUAUGCCUCCGGGACUUGUUGAGCUGAGGCAGGCUGUGAGGUUUAAUAGCCAUACCUGGUGCAGCCCUCACAUAACCCUUCUCGGAUCCAGUUGGGAUUUGGCCUUGGCAGCAUCCUGUAACAAUAAGUUUCACAAUUUAAUUUCCACUGUGUGAAAGCGGACUUCCUCUAUUUGUUUUAAGCUUGCUGCCUGCUAAUUUCAAAGGGUGCCUUUAGUUCUGUGCUGAGGCAGGAGGGGCAAGCUAUUCCCCACCCAUCUGCUCCAGAUCUUUUAUGAUUUAUACACCUCUGUCAUCCCUCCCUUGACUCAUUUCCAGCAUCAGAAAUCCCAGCCUGUUCAGUCUUUUCUAGUACCGUUGCCUUCCCAUACAUCUAAUAGCACAUCUUGAGCUCUACACCUUUUCUAGCUCUCCUGUGCUCAACCAUGUCCUGCUGUAAGGGAAGGAAAAAUCCAGUUUUGCUUUUUGCAAUUUCCUUCCACCCUGUCCCCAUCUGGCAGGCAGUAAUCCACAGGUCACCCACCUAAGAGGUUUCCCAAAGACAGUGCAGGGCUGUCGGAUGAACCAAAGUGUCUCCCAGGGGAACUAAGCCCUGGUCUGCAAGAGCCUCUCUAAGUAAAACCCGUGGGAGGUUUUGUCCCUUCCUAUCCCAAUAGUUUCUCAGCAGGAGAAUCUCAGUCCCCAAAGCUUCCUCCCACCAGAAAGUAUCCCAGCCAAGGAGGAGAACAUGUAAGGUUUGCUGGGAGCUGCUCAGUAUUCAUGGUAGACCCCUGGUAACUCAGCUUUGGCGCAGCACCUGGUCUGGGAAUUAUUUUUAUUAAAAACAAAGAAUUAGUGUAUGACCUCAAGCAAUUUCCCUCAUGAGCUGGGUUCUGGCCAGACAGACUAUCGCCUACAAAAAUCCCAUCUGUCAGCCACAGGGUUACACAGCCAUCUCAGACGUGGAGGAAUUUGAAGCUGAGGCACCAAAUGCAGCAGCCUCAAAUACCAGGCCUAGAGACAUUUUAACUCAUUUAAUAAUACCAGGCCUCCUUGCUCUCUUGCUUGCACUGGGUUUGCUCCACAGAUUUCAGUCGAGCCAAACUUCCCUGGGGCUGGCAGAGGAGGUGAGGGAUGGAGCAGGCACUUUGUGCACGGUGGGCCAGCAGCCAGCUAUUGAGGGAAGCUGAGGACCUGGUCAAAAGACGGCAGUGACAUUUACCAUGGUGGAAAAACUGGCAGCUGGCAGUCCCACUUCCUUUGCUGAAGGGACAGGAUGGCCGGGCAGGCAGCUUUUGUGGGGGAGACAUGGCAGGAGGAGAACAAAUCACUUGUUUCUCCUUGACUUUCCAUUUUCCUUAUCUGAAAAAUGACCUUCUGCAUUUUCCCAGAAGGGGUACUGCUUUCUUUGAGAUGUUAUUUGCAAAUAUCUAUCUUAAAUGUCACAUACAAACAGAAUAAAAUGGGUAUAAACAGAGCACUAGAUGUGAAAGGGUGCUGAGGAACAGAAGCUGAUAGUGAAAUGACCCUUCUGGGGUGUCGUGAAAGUGCUGGUGUUGAGUGGAGCCAUCUUCUUCUGCUGAGAUAUCUGAAUGAGCAUCUGUUGUUACUGACUAAAUAACAGUAUAGAUUGAAUUAAUCCUUGUGACAGGCAAGCUUUCUGCCAGAAACAAUAGCAUCAGCUGGGAGAGUUAAUUCCUGGGUUUGUGUUAUUAGUCACCCCAACCAACGCACAUUCAAGGCAAGCAGCGUGACAGAACGCUGUGCGAUAUCUAAUUCCUCCACCACUCCAUUCUUCUUGCUGUCCCUUGCUUUAAUUAGGUGCCAUUAAUCAGUCACUGGUUAAUGAGGAACCCAUAUCAAAAUGUUUGGUGGUAUAAUACAGCUGAAGCAAGAUCCAUUCUUGCCACUUGAGCCUUGCAGGCCAGCCCAUACGGAGCUGCAUUGCAAUUGCAGCUGUUGGUUAGGCAGCUGUGAGCCCAUCCAAGCCCCAUUCCCUAAAAUAAGUGGCAUUUCUUUUGCUCCCUCUUUGGCUUCCGCCACAACAAUGACUGACUGUGAGCAGAGGACUGAAGUCUCAUUCUGCUAUUUGCUGUACAAAUGGGAAUAUGCAUGGCUGAAACUUUCAGAGAUAUUUUUAAGCCCAAAGUCAAGAUAUAAGCCAGCUGGGAUUUUCUAAGGCUUUUAGAUACCAAAUUUCCUGGAAGUUGGAGGGUGUGGAAGAUGGAAGACAGAGAGCUGCUAAGAUAUUUCCACAGGUUUUUUCCACAGAAGUUAGGCAGUUAAGCUGCUUUGCAGAUUGGUUUCAGUUGUGUGUUUUUUAAAAUAUCAGUGGGUAUCUAUUUUUAUAAUUUAAAAUUGUCUCCAUGUUUCUUACCUGAAAGUAAGGUUAAUCUUCCAAUUUUGCACUGAAAUAUGCUUGGGCAGAUCAUUGACUGUGGUUGGUUUUGCAAGUCAGAAAUGUUUUAAUCAGAAUAUGUUAAUCACUGGGUGCUCAGGAAAGCACAAAGAUCUCCAUGCACGUUGCUCAGUGAAGGACCGCAGCCUCAGCAGUAGACAGGAGAUGACCACUGGGGGAGAGAGGAACAUGUGAAUAUAGAAAGCUUAUUGUUGUAAAAUUAUAUUUAUUUAAAAUAGCACAUAGAAUAAAGUAUCCCCUUCUUCCAACUAUUUGUUACUUGACUUUUCCAAGUGCAUCUCUCUUAUCAAUGAAAUAUUGACUAAUUCAAAAAACACAGUGACAACGAAAGAUCGUUAAAGAAAGUGGGAUGCUCUGACAUGUGACCAGGCUAUUCCUGGCUGCUGUUUACUCAAUGUUUGCAGCAAUCUCUAUGGCACAAGGACUUGAGAGACAGAAUAUCUUCUUUGUUCCAGUUAUGUACUUUCUGGUUUAUGUGUUUGCUGUACAGUAUCAACCCUAACUUAGGAUAUAGCCUUUUGUCACUUGAAAUUAUUUCAUAGCCUUUUGUAAAACAAACUGAAAAACUGAUAGAAAUUCUCAGAAGAUCAUCAAAAUUUUUGUACUUGAUUCCCUCACUUCUGGUCUCCUCCAUCUCCUCAUCCAUAUACAAUUGACAGCAACUGCAUUAUGGAAGAAGAUAUGAGUGUUGGCUUUGAAAAUAAAACAGGGUUUUGUAUCACAAUCA